rnacentral:tRNA from 2 species
CCACUCCCUGGCCGGCGCGGCGGCGGUCGCACAGCUCGCGGCCGAGUGCGGCGUCGUGCCGGAGCCCGGGGCCGGUCCGGAGGCGGCGGGUGCGGU